rnacentral:rRNA from 1 species
CUACGUGCCAGCAGCCGCGGUAAUACGUAGGGGGCAAGCGUUAUCCGGAUUUACUGGGUGUAAAGGGAGCGUAGACGGAAUGGCAAGUCUGAAGUGAAAUACCCGGGCUCAACCUGGGAACUGCUUUGGAAACUGUUGUUCUAGAGUGUUGGAGAGGUAAGUGGAAUUCCUGGUGUAGCGGUGAAAUGCGUAGAUAUCAGGAAGAACACCGGAGGCGAAGGCGGCUUACUGGACAAUAACUGACGUUGAGGCUCGAAAGCGUGGGGAUCAAACAGGAUUAGAUACCCUGGUAGUCCACGCUGUAAACGAUGAAUACUAGGUGUCGGGGUGCAAAGCAUCUCGGUGCCGUCGCUAACGCAAUAAGUAUUCCACCUGGGGAGUACGUUCGCAAGAAUGAAACUCAGAGGAAUUGACGGGGACCCGCACAAGCGGUGGAGCAUGUGGUUUAAUUCGAAGCAACGCGAAGAACCUUACCAAGUCUUGAGAUCCC